AGACAAGAUCCAGGACACUCAGCAAUUCAGCCAGGACAGAUAGUAAUAUCUGAUGCUGAGGAUGUGGAUCGACCUGAAACAAAUCCAGAAAAAAAUUCUUGCUACAGGGAGGAGACGGACAUUACAUUACCUGACAUCGUAGCAAACCUGUCGCUUCCUAUUGAUCAUAAAAGAGUCAGUCGGUUCAACAUCUCAAGGGCUAAUGUUUGGGAUGGGGCAGUCAGAGGUUUCAAGCGUA